GAACAAUGACAAUUUGAGUAUUUGUAAGAAAUUAUGUUCAAUAUUUGUGGAAAUUUAGUCGGCAUCAAAUUCUUAAGAAAUUCUGAAACUGUUAGGGGAAAAACUCUCUAAAAAAUUUAUUUCAUUGAACAAACGUUAUUGAGGUUCUACUGUAUACGUCUAACUUAGUUUUGAGUACACAUCAACGAGUAAGACUGCUUCUCUGUCUAAGAUGGAAGUCAGAUAUGUCAACACUUCAGGACAAUAAAAUAUUUCACACUCUGUGGAAAAAACAGAUUAUGCCAGUGAGGAGAGACGCAGAGGCGGUGGAGGAGGACGUCAGGAGGAGCUCCGCAAGAACAGGCCUGAGGAAGUGCCGCUCCGUUAACUAAGGAGGCCUCAGGCACUGUUAGUUGGUUUACUAUGCAUAGAGUUUCUUCUGCAUGAAAACAUACUAAUUAUUUGGAGACUUCACACACAAUGAUUGCUGUCCGUGACCACUCCUGGGUCUCUAGAACGUUCUGUGCCUAAUGAAGGUGAAACCAGCCCUCCUUCAAGGUUUCUUACGUGAUGUUCAGACCUCUCAGACUUGUUUGCUUCACUGACUUUAUUCCUAUUAACACCGCAUCCCAUUAAAGCAGAAAACACAGCAAUUAGAUCCAGAUAAAGAGGCCAAGAGACUGGUUGUUCAUGCCUCCCUUUGUUUCUACCAUUCAGUUUACCUAAUUUACCAAAGGAACAGGGGUAACCACAGUGAGCCUUCUGGGAAGAGAAUAACUUUCCGAUUGGACAUCAGUGUUCUGCUCUCCUGACAGCCUCACCCCCCAGGCCCCUGACUUGUGCCUAUGCACCUUUGGCCUUGAGUGGCUCUCACUGACCACCUGACUUCUCUUGCUCCUGUCAAGACCCUGAACCCCCUUAGUGGAAGCAAAGAGCAUUCAGUGACAGCUGCAGAAAUACCCACCGAAAAUGGAACCCAACUCACUAAGCUGUUAGAAGACUUAGUACAAACCGAAGAAUUAGCUGUUCUCAAAGUCAAAGCUCACACUAGAAGCCAGGCCUCCUGAAGCCAAGGAAACCCCUGGAUGGACAAAUGUGCUAAGAGAGCCACUUCCCAAGGAAACUCUUCCUCUCCCACCCACACACUUCGCCUUGCCCGACCUUCUUUAGAGACAGAAACUCUACUUACUGACCCUGAGGCACAGUGACCGUUAACACCUGAGGCUGAAAACGCUCACCAGAAACAAGCUGG
rnacentral:lncRNA from 1 species